rnacentral:rRNA from 1 species
GGGUUGUGAGGUUAAGCGACUAAGCGUACACGGUGGAUGCCCUGGCAGUCAGAGGCGAUGAAGGACGUGCUAAUCUGCGAUAAGCGUCGGUAAGGUGAUAUGAACCGUUAUAACCGGCGAUUUCCGAAUGGGGAAACCCAGUGUGUUUCGACACACUAUCAUUAACUGAAUCCAUAGGUUAAUGAGGCGAACCGGGGGAACUGAAACAUCUAAGUACCCCGAGGAAAAGAAAUCAACCGAGAUUCCCCCAGUAGCGGCGAGCGAACGGGGAGGAGCCCAGAGCCUGAACCAGUGUGUGUGUUAGUGGAAGCGUCUGGAAAGGCGCGCGAUACAGGGUGACAGCCCCGUACACAAAAAUGCACAUGCUGUGAGCUCGAUGAGUAGGGCGGGACACGUGGUAUCCUGUCUGAAUAUGGGGGGACCAUCCUCCAAGGCUAAAUACUCCUGACUGACCGAUAGUGAACCAGUACCGUGAGGGAAAGGCGAAAAGAACCCCGGCGAGGGGAGUGAAAAAGAACCUGAAACCGUGUACGUACAAGCAGUGGGAGCACGCUUCGGCGUGUGACUGCGUACCUUUUGUAUAAUGGGUCAGCGACUUAUAUUCUGUAGCAAGGUUAACCGAAUAGGGGAGCCGAAGGGAAACCGAGUCUUAACUGGGCGUUAAGUUGCAGGGUAUAGACCCGAAACCCGGUGAUCUAGCCAUGGGCAGGUUGAAGGUUGGGUAACACUAACUGGAGGACCGAACCGACUAAUGUUGAAAAAUUAGCGGAUGACUUGUGGCUGGGGGUGAAAGGCCAAUCAAACCGGGAGAUAGCUGGUUCUCCCCGAAAGCUAUUUAGGUAGCGCCUCGUGAACUCAUCUCCGGGGGUAGAGCACUGUUUCGGCAAGGGGGUCAUCCCGACUUACCAACCCGAUGCAAACUGCGAAUACCGGAGAAUGUUAUCACGGGAGACACACGGCGGGUGCUAACGUCCGUCGUGAAGAGGGAAACAACCCAGACCGCCAGCUAAGGUCCCAAAGUCAUGGUUAAGUGGGAAACGAUGUGGGAAGGCCCAGACAGCCAGGAUGUUGGCUUAGAAGCAGCCAUCAUUUAAAGAAAGCGUAAUAGCUCACUGGUCGAGUCGGCCUGCGCGGAAGAUGUAACGGGGCUAAACCAUGCACCGAAGCUGCGGCAGCGACACUAUGUGUUGUUGGGUAGGGGAGCGUUCUGUAAGCCUGUGAAGGUGUGCUGUGAGGCACGCUGGAGGUAUCAGAAGUGCGAAUGCUGACAUAAGUAACGAUAAAGCGGGUGAAAAGCCCGCUCGCCGGAAGACCAAGGGUUCCUGUCCAACGUUAAUCGGGGCAGGGUGAGUCGACCCCUAAGGCGAGGCCGAAAGGCGUAGUCGAUGGGAAACAGGUUAAUAUUCCUGUACUUGGUGUUACUGCGAAGGGGGGACGGAGAAGGCUAUGUUGGCCGGGCGACGGUUGUCCCGGUUUAAGCGUGUAGGCUGGUUUUCCAGGCAAAUCCGGAAAAUCAAGGCUGAGGCGUGAUGACGAGGCACUACGGUGCUGAAGCAACAAAUGCCCUGCUUCCAGGAAAAGCCUCUAAGCAUCAGGUAACAUCAAAUCGUACCCCAAACCGACACAGGUGGUCAGGUAGAGAAUACCAAGGCGCUUGAGAGAACUCGGGUGAAGGAACUAGGCAAAAUGGUGCCGUAACUUCGGGAGAAGGCACGCUGAUAUGUAGGUGAAGUCCCUCGCGGAUGGAGCUGAAAUCAGUCGAAGAUACCAGCUGGCUGCAACUGUUUAUUAAAAACACAGCACUGUGCAAACACGAAAGUGGACGUAUACGGUGUGACGCCUGCCCGGUGCCGGAAGGUUAAUUGAUGGGGUCAGCGCAAGCGAAGCUCUUGAUCGAAGCCCCGGUAAACGGCGGCCGUAACUAUAACGGUCCUAAGGUAGCGAAAUUCCUUGUCGGGUAAGUUCCGACCUGCACGAAUGGCGUAAUGAUGGCCAGGCUGUCUCCACCCGAGACUCAGUGAAAUUGAACUCGCUGUGAAGAUGCAGUGUACCCGCGGCAAGACGGAAAGACCCCGUGAACCUUUACUAUAGCUUGACACUGAACAUUGAGCCUUGAUGUGUAGGAUAGGUGGGAGGCUUUGAAGUGUGGACGCCAGUCUGCAUGGAGCCGACCUUGAAAUACCACCCUUUAAUGUUUGAUGUUCUAACGUGGACCCGUAAUCCGGGUUGCGGACAGUGUCUGGUGGGUAGUUUGACUGGGGCGGUCUCCUCCUAAAGAGUAACGGAGGAGCACGAAGGUUGGCUAAUCCUGGUCGGACAUCAGGAGGUUAGUGCAAUGGCAUAAGCCAGCUUGACUGCGAGCGUGACGGCGCGAGCAGGUGCGAAAGCAGGUCAUAGUGAUCCGGUGGUUCUGAAUGGAAGGGCCAUCGCUCAACGGAUAAAAGGUACUCCGGGGAUAACAGGCUGAUACCGCCCAAGAGUUCAUAUCGACGGCGGUGUUUGGCACCUCGAUGUCGGCUCAUCACAUCCUGGGGCUGAAGUAGGUCCCAAGGGUAUGGCUGUUCGCCAUUUAAAGUGGUACGCGAGCUGGGUUUAGAACGUCGUGAGACAGUUCGGUCCCUAUCUGCCGUGGGCGCUGGAGAACUGAGGGGGGCUGCUCCUAGUACGAGAGGACCGGAGUGGACGCAUCACUGGUGUUCGGGUUGUCAUGCCAAUGGCACUGCCCGGUAGCUAAAUGCGGAAGAGAUAAGUGCUGAAAGCAUCUAAGCACGAAACUUGCCCCGAGAUGAGUUCUCCCUGACCCUUUAAGGGUCCUGAAGGAACGUUGAAGACGACGACGUUGAUAGGCCGGGUGUGUAAGCGCAGCGAUGCGUUGAGCUAACCGGUACUAAUGAACCGUGAGGCUUAACCUUACAACGCCGAAGCUGUU